UACGGAGGGUGCAAGCGUUAUCCGGAUUCACUGGGUUUAAAGGGUGCGUAGGUGGGCAGGUAAGUCAGUGGUGAAAUCUCCGGGCUUAACCCGGAAACUGCCAUUGAUACUAUCAGUCUUGAAUACCGUGGAGGUAAGCGGAAUAUGUCAUGUAGCGGUGAAAUGCUUAGAUAUCUGGAGGAACACCGGUGGCGAAGGCGGCAUCCUGGACCAACACUGACACUGAGGAGCGAAAGCCAGGGGAGCAAACGGG
rnacentral:rRNA from 1 species